GAACUGGCCCAUGAAGAAAAUACAUCCCAUAUUCUGUAGUAAGUGAAUGAAGUGGACUUUUUCAUUGCUUGAAGAAGUGUCUCGAUUACUGAUCUCGAAAACCCCUUGUUCUUUAACCCUUCCCUUUCAAGUACCAUGCCAUCAGACAAAGAGAUGCUGGGUUUGGAUCAUGAAUUGGACUCUGAUGUAGCAGGAAUGGGACAACUGGAAGAUGCCAUGGAUCCUUCUUGCACAGACUUAGUAGGAGCGGGAACCAAGGUCUGCGAGGCCAAAAAGGGGCUAUUAGAAUCAGUGAUGCCUUCUCUUGUCGUAGUCUCCUUAGCAGAGGGAAGAUGAGG